rnacentral:rRNA from 1 species
UGGGGAAUAUUGCACAAUGGGCGAAAGCCUGAUGCAGCGACGCCGCGUGAGGGAUGACGGCCUUCGGGUUGUAAACCUCUUUCAGCAGGGACGAAGCGCAAGUGACGGUACCUGCAGAAGAAGCACCGGCUAACUACGUGCCAGCAGCCGCGGUAAUACGUAGGGUGCAAGCGUUGUCCGGAAUUACUGGGCGUAAAGAGUUCGUAGGCGGUUUGUGGCGUCGUUUGUGAAAACCAGCAGCUCAACUGCUGGCUUGCAGGCGAUACGGGCAGACUUGAGUACUGCAGGGGAGACUGGAAUUCCUGGUGUAGCGGAGAAAUGCGCAGAUAUCAGGAGGAACACCGGUGGCGAAGGCGGGUCUCUGGGCAGUAACUGACGCUGAGGAACGAAAGCGUGGGUAGCGAACAGG